UGGAGCAUUUCUUGUAAAUGGUGUGACUUCAAAUAAUGACAUAGCCACCCCCCCUCCUGGGUGUAGCCCACCCAGCUCAGCUUUAAGAGGCGCAGGUAGAGAGACGGAGCUCACAUCUUCCUGCUCUCAGGAGACGCAGCGGACAGCCAAGGUCUACCCGGAGCUGGUCUUAUCUCUGUGUUGAUGGCUGAACCUGGACCUGGUCCUGACCGAUACAACCAGGGGUUCCAAACCUUUUCUCUUCGAGACCAAAAAGAAACAUUUGGGGUCUCCCGGGACCCAAACCUAAAAAUAAUUCAUCAGGAAUUGCCAUAGCAUCUACAUUUAUGAAACUAUUGAUAAAGAACACAAGAAACCAUGCAUUUAAUAAGAAUAAGAAAUAUAUUUAUCUAAUGAUGAAAGUACAUCACAGCCACAAUCCAAUGCGCUAAUGUUUGUGUUAAGCUAACAUAAGACAAAAACAGGAGAGAGAGAGAAAAACAAGAGAGAGAGAGAGAGAGACAAAAAACAAGAGAGAGAGAGAGAGACAAAAAACAACAACAAAACUUUUGGAUUCGCAAACAAAACUUUUGGAUUUGCAAACAAAACUUUUGGGUUUGCAAACUAAACUUUUGGAUUCCCAUUAAUAUUUUUUUUAUCACAUUAAUUUAUCUUGCAAUAAAACAUUUUUUGAUUGCAGUGUCGAUAGUUUUGCUCUCAAAUCUAUUUUUUGAUUGCAGUGUGG
ensembl:lncRNA